GACGUAGGGCGCGAGCGUUGUCCGGAUUUAUUGGGCGUAAAGAGCUCGUAGGCGGCUUGUCGCGUCGUCCGUGAAAACUUGGGGCUCAACCCCAAGCUUGCGGUCGAUACGGGCAGACUGGAGGUAUGCAGGGGAGAACGGAAUUCCUGGUGUAGCGGUGAGAUGCGCAGAUAUCAGGAGGAACACCGGUGGCGAAGGCGGGUCUCUGGGCCGUAACUGACGCUGAGGAGCGAAAGCGUGGGGAGCGAACAGG
rnacentral:rRNA from 1 species